rnacentral:rRNA from 1 species
UAAAAUUUCGUGGAGGUCCGAACCCACGAGCGUUGAAAAGCUCGGGGAUGACUUGUGGGUAGCGGUGAAAUUCCAAUCGAGCCCGGAGAUAGCUGGUUCUCCCCGAAAUAGCUUUAGGGCUAGCCUCCAGGUGAGAGAUACGGAGGUAGAGCACUGAAUGUCCUAGGGGGUAUUGCACCUACCGAAGACUAUCAAACUCCGAAUGCCGUCAUCUUAUACUUGGGAGUCAGACUGUGGGUGAUAAGAUUCAUAGUCGAAAGGGCAACAGCCCAGAUCGUCAGCUAAGGUCCCUAAAUGUAAGUUAAGUGGUAAAGGAUGUGGGAUUGCACAGACAACCAGGAUGUUGGCUUAGAAGCAGCCACUCAUUCAAAGAGUGCGUAAUAGCUCACUGGUCGAGUGAUCC